rnacentral:rRNA from 1 species
CGGAGGAAAAGAAACUAACAAGGAUUCCCCUAGUAACGGCGAGUGAAGCGGGAAGAGCUCAAAUUUGUAAUCUGGCGGCCUUUGGCCGUCCGAGUUGUAGUCUCGAGAAGCGUUUUCUGCGUCGGACCGUGUACAAGUCCCUUGGAACAGGGCGUCGUAGAGGGUGAGAAUCCCGUCUUUGACACGGACUGCCGGUGCUUUGUGAUGCGCUCUCAAAGAGUCGAGUUGUUUGGGAAUGCAGCUCAAAACGGGUGGUAAAUUCCAUCUAAAGCUAAAUAUGGGCGAAAGACCGAUAGCGAACAAGUACCGUGAGGGAAAGAUGAAAAGCACUUUGGAAAGAGAGUUAAACAGUACGUGAAAUUGCUGAAAGGGAAACGCUUGAAGUCAGUCGCGUCUCCCGGGACUCAGCCGUGCCUCUUGCACGGUGUACUUCCUGGGGUGUGACGGGCCAGCAUCGGUUUCGACCGUCGGAAAAAGGCUCUGGGAAUGUGGCACCUUUUCGGGUGUGUUUAUAGCCCUGGGUCGCAUGCGACGGUUGGGAUCGAGGACCGCAGCACGCCUUUUUGGCCGGGGUUCGCCCACGUUAACGUGCUUAGGAUGCUUGGCGUAAUGGCUUUAAGCGACCCGUCUUG